rnacentral:rRNA from 1 species
UACGUAGGGUGCAAGCGUUGUCCGGAAUUAUUGGGCGUAAAGAGCUCGUAGGCGGUUUGUCGCGUCUGCCGUGAAAGUCCGGGGCUCAACUCCGGAUCUGCGGUGGGUACGGGCAGACUAGAGUGAUGUAGGGGAGACUGGAAUUCCUGGUGUAGCGGUGAAAUGCGUAGAUAUCCGGAAGAACACCGAUGGCGAAGGCAACCACCUGGGCCUGUACUGACGCUGAGGUACGAAAGCGUGGGGAGCAAACAGG